CUCGACGUAUGUCGAAGUAACUAGCAGAGACAUUGGAAUAGUCAUACAUUAAACUUAUUCGUUCAUGGUUUAUAAAGUGUCUUCGAUCUCUGAGAAAGUUUAAUUCGAAUUGACUUCCGAUAACUGUUUGCGACCUGUAGAUUCGUUUUUUUUAUCAACUCCUUAACCGAUUAAUCGUGAGGAAGAGAGAAGAAGUUAAGUAUUCGAGUACAUAACCUAUGUACAUAUAUUUCGAUGAUAAUGAUGAUGAUGAUGAUGAUGAUGAUGGACUCAUCUGACUUCCUCUUCUUUAUAAUCAAUCAGUUGUAUUACUCAUAAAACGUCGAAAGAAUUGUUUGAGCAGUCGAAAAUACAGCAAAGAGAUACGUAUGACGCCUUGAGUAUCGUAGAAUUUGUGGUUCAGACUUAAAGCUGAACGAGGAGGGUAAUGGAGGUCACAUAAGGAGGCUCGUGCCACGUGUGGGUGGAAAACUUUAUAAACGAUUUGUGCCGAGUGUUGGCGAGUCGUACCAGUCAGACAUAUAUACGUGGAUUAGAAUUACUUGAAAGUCGUCUCUCUACGUGUUACAUCAGAAAAUAUUAAACUCAUUGUCAAACAUUA